GAUGAACGCUGGCGGCGUGCCAAAUACAUGCAAGUCGAGCGAACGGACGAGAAGCUUGCUUCUCUGAUGUUAGCGGCGGACGGGUGAGUAACACGUGGAUAACCUACCUAUAAGACUGGGAUAACUUCGGGAAACCGGAGCUAAUACCGGAUAAUAUUUUGAACCGCAUGGUUCAAAAGUGAAAGACGGUCUUGCUGUCACUUAUAGAUGGAUCCGCGCUGCAUUAGCUAGUUGGUAAGGUAACGGCUUACCAAGGCAACGAUGCAUAGCCGACCUGAGAGGGUGAUGGGCCACACUGGAGCUGAGACGCGGUCCAGACUCCUACGGGAGGCAGCAGUAGGGAAUCUUCCGCGAUGGGCGAAAGACUGACGGAGCAACGCCGCGUGAGUGAUGAAGGUCUUCGGAUCGUAAAACUCUGUUAUGAGGGAAGAACAUAUGUGUAAGUAACUGUGCACAUCUGGACGGUACCUAUACAGAAAGCCACGGUUAACUACGU
rnacentral:rRNA from 1 species